CCGGGCGGCUGGCCCUCUGCAGCGGCCCGACGUCCCCUGCCCCCUCCUCCGCCUCCCUCUCCUCCUCCUCCCCGCGCGCGUCCGGAGGGGGACCGGUCCUGGCCAUCCGAGACCCAGUGGAAAUGUGGUUCUUUGCAUCGUGAGAAGCUGGAAAUGAUCAGGUUCCUUUUCUGCCAGCUUGGAAGGGCAGCCCCGUGACUGAUUGCGAUUCUGAGGAUGUCUAUGCAAAGUUGGAUUCUUGUUUUCAGUUGUAUCCAAUCUGAAGUAUUGCACAUCUGAACUGGGACUGGUUAACACUGAUCUGGUUAACACUGAUGCCAAUACAGUGUGGGGUGCCAGAAAGUGUCUGCUGAUAUUUGUGGAGGGAGGGGAGGGGAGAAAAAAAAUCUAUUUUGUUUACCUACUGUAUCUAAGGGGAGUCUGGGGAGAAAAAAUAACAACGGUAGUAUUUUUUUUUAUCAGCUGUGAAAAAAAUGUUACAGAUCUGCACAUUUUGUGUGUGUACUGUUGUGUGUGUGUGUGUGUGUGGUGGUUUUGUGUGUGUGUGUGUGUGUGUUGUUGUUUUUUUUUUUUUUAAGUUUAGCUUUUUAUUCUUGUUGGUUGGCAGUAACAGAUUUUGAUGAGUAGCUCUUUACAAUACAGUACAAAGACUUAACAAAUGUGAUAUCAGUGUCUGCAGAGUGCCUUCAAAACUCAGCUGUUCCAGCCGGUGCCAACCUGUGAACUUCCCACCCCACUACCCCCAGAGUCUGCUAUCCCCCCAAACCACUUCCCAGUUUCCUUUCAGCAAUCACCCCGAAGGAGCCAGGACAAUAGGGCCUGUUGUUCUGUGAAUUUCUUCUUUAUUAUUCCCAACCCUUAAAAUGUAAUUUCCAUGUCUUGGUGAUUUUUUUUUUUAACUUUAUUUUUCUUCGUCCUGUUCAGAUGUUCAGGUAUUUAGCUCCCCUUUUAUAUUAUUUUUAAAAAAUAUAUUUUUCUGGUUGUCUGUUCAUAGGGUCUUCCUUCAGAAGCAAAAGAGCAGAAUUUGACUGUUGUGAUGUACCAAGAGAAUUCUAACCGAUUGUAAUUUUCAAUUCCAGACACGCGUGUUUAAUCAUUGUCUCUUCAUUUUAAGACUUUUAAUACAGAUGUCGUUUUUAAAGAAACAAACCCAAAA